rnacentral:rRNA from 1 species
CCCUUAGAUGUUCGGGGCCGCACGCGCGCUACACUGAAGGACUCAGCGUGUCUCUCCCCCUAUCCCGAAAGGGAUGGGCAACCCGUUGAGCCUCCUUCGUGCUAGGGAUUGGGGUUUGCAAUUAUCCCCCAUGAACGAGGAAUUCCCAGUAAGCGCGAGUCAUCAGCUCGCGUUGAUUACGUCCCUGCCCUUUGUACACACCGCCCGUCGCUACUACCGAUUGGAUGGUUUAGUGAGACCCUCGGAUCGGUCCCGACUCGGGGUGGGCUUCUGCCCCGGUCGUGGUUUCGCCGAGAAGACGGUCAAACUUGACUAUCUAGAGGAAGUAAAAGUCGUAACA